CAAUAGCGUAUAUUAAAGUUGUUGCAGUUAAAAAGCUCGUAGUUGGAUUUCUGGAUGGAGCGACCGGUCGGGUAUUGAUUUGUCUGCACUGGAGUCGGUUCCGUCCAUCCUCUUGGAAAGUGCGUCGGGCAUUAAGUUGUUUGGCGUAUGAUCCAAGUCGUUUACUGUGAAAAAAUUAGAGUGUUUAAAGCAGGCCUUCGCCUUGAAUACAUUAGCAUGGAAUAAUAAGAUAGGACUUUGGUCUAUUUUGUUGGUUUGCGGACCGAAGUAAUGAUUAAUAGGGAUAGUUGGGGGUAUUUAUAUUCCGAUGUCAGAGGUGAAAUUCUUAGAUUUUCGGAAGAUAAACUUAUGCGAAAGCAUUUACCAAGGAUGUUUUCAUUAA
rnacentral:rRNA from 1 species